AUGUUCGAUCGUGGUUUACUUACAAUUGUAACUUCCACACCUAUUCAUUUGUUAUUUGGUAUAAUUUCCCAUAUAAAGAAAGAAAAAUAUUCAAAGAAAGGCUAGGAGAUGUUUCCUAUGUCAAAUCGAAAAAAUAGAGGUCAAAGAUACCAUAACAAUGUGUCAUGCUCCAUGUUUCCUUGUAGUUGGAUCUCCUACUUUUUGGAAUGUUCCAAAUUCCACUUGAGCAUCCAAAUUAGCUAG
rnacentral:rRNA from 1 species